rnacentral:rRNA from 1 species
UAUUUUGAACUGCAUGGUUCGAAAUUGAAAGGCGGCUUCGGCUGUCACUUAUGGAUGGACCCGCGUCGCAUUAGCUAGUUGGUGAGGUAACGGCUCACCAAGGCAACGAUGCGUAGCCGACCUGAGAGGGUGAUCGGCCACACUGGGACUGAGACACGGCCCAGACUCCUACGGGAGGCAGCAGUAGGGAAUCUUCCGCAAUGGACGAAAGUCUGACGGAGCAACGCCGCGUGAGUGAUGAAGGCUUUCGGGUCGUAAAACUCUGUUGUUAGGGAAGAACAAGUGCUAGUUGAAUAAGCUGGCACCUUGACGGUACCUAACCAGAAAGCCACGGCUAACUACGUGCCAGCAGCCGCGGUAAUACGUAGGUGGCAAGCGUUAUCCGGAAUUAUUGGGCGUAAAGCGCGCGCAGGUGGUUUCUUAAGUCUGAUGUGAAAGCCCCACGGGCUCAACCCGUGUGGAGGGUCAUUUGGAAACUGGGAGACUUGAGUGCAGAAGAGGAAAGUGGAAUUCCAUGUGUAGCGGUGAAAUGCGUAGAGAUAUGGAGGAACACCAGUGGCGAAGGCGACUUUCUGGUCUGUAACUGACACU